rnacentral:rRNA from 1 species
AUGAGGAACAAUCAGAUGUUCCAGUCCCUUGGCAUCGGUGCAAUAGCGUCGAUGAUUAGGAAAACAAAUGGUGUACAAGAAGGUAGAAGUGAUGAGGUUCAAGAGGGUAGUGGAGUUAUCAAUGAUGACCCAGAGUACAAUCCUAAGGAGGAUGAAGUUAUUGAUGGAGAGGAAGUGGAUGAUGUUGUAGUCAACAAGAUUACAGUCAGCAAGAAGAACAAGAGCUCAGAAACAUCUGCUGCAAUGCCUCCAGGAAGGGUGAUGGCCCCAGCUCCAGGACAAAAAAAGAGGAUCCUGGAACCUGAUGAACCUGCCCUUGAUAGAGUCACAAGGCAGAAAGCAAGGAUGGCGACUGCGAUGGACCAUCAGGAAAGUAUGCUGCGCAUGGACUCUCAGACCUCGGUGCAAACGGGUGAUGAGUUGCCGCCCAUGGAUCAAGAUGCAAUGACUCCUAAGACUAGACUUAGAAAGGGCAAAGGGCUAGAGAGGAUCACCAAGUCGCUUGGUAGCAAGGUGCCUAUCCAAAUUGCCGAAGGGAUGAUUCAUCCAGAGAAGCCUCUGCAGGCAGCAAAGCUUGCUUCUGAGUGUGGACUCAUUGCAAAAAGCCAUCUUCCGGUUCUUCCUUCCUCACUUCAAGCUAUACAAAAAAAAUGCUAG